rnacentral:rRNA from 2 species
GUUGUAUGGUUAAGUGACUAAGCGUACACGGUGGAUGCCUGGGCAGUCAGAGGCGAUGAAGGACGUACUAACUUGCGAUAAGCGCAGAUAAGGCAGUAAGAGCCGUUUGAGUCUGCGAUUUCCGAAUGGGGAAACCCAACUGCAUAAGCAGUUACUGUUAACUGAAUCCAUAGGUUAACAGAGCAAACCGGGGGAACUGAAACAUCUAAGUACCCCGAGGAGAAGAAAUCAACCGAGAUUCCGGUAGUAGCGGCGAGCGAACCUGGAUUAGCCCUUAAGCACUCGGUGAAGUAGGUGAACAAGCUGGAAAGCUUGGCGAUACAGGGUGAUAGCCCCGUAACCGACGCUUCAUCGAGCGUGAAAUCGAGUAGGGCGGGACACGUGAUAUCCUGUCUGAAUAUGGGGGGACCAUCCUCCAAGGCUAAAUACUCCUGACUGACCGAUAGUGAACCAGUACCGUGAGGGAAAGGCGAAAAGAACCCCUGUGAGGGGAGUGAAAUAGAACCUGAAACCGUGUACGUACAAGCAGUAGGAGCACCUUCGUGGUGUGACUGCGUACCUUUUGUAUAAUGGGUCAGCGACUUAUAUUCAGUGGCAAGGUUAACCGUAUAGGGGAGCCGUAGCGAAAGCGAGUCUUAACUGGGCGCUCAGUCUCUGGAUAUAGACCCGAAACCGGGUGAUCUAGCCAUGGGCAGGUUGAAGGUUGAGUAACAUCAACUGGAGGACCGAACCGACUAAUGUUGAAAAAUUAGCGGAUGACUUGUGGCUAGGGGUGAAAGGCCAAUCAAACUCGGAGAUAGCUGGUUCUCCCCGAAAGCUAUUUAGGUAGCGCCUCGGACGAAUACUACUGGGGGUAGAGCACUGUUAAGGCUAGGGGGUCAUCCCGACUUACCAACCCUUUGCAAACUCCGAAUACCAGUAAGUACUAUCCGGGAGACACACGGCGGGUGCUAACGUCCGUCGUGGAGAGGGAAACAACCCAGACCGCCAGCUAAGGUCCCAAAGUAUUGCUAAGUGGGAAACGAUGUGGGAAGGCUCAGACAGCUAGGAUGUUGGCUUAGAAGCAGCCAUCAUUUAAAGAAAGCGUAAUAGCUCACUAGUCGAGUCGGCCUGCGCGGAAGAUGUAACGGGGCUAAGCAAUACACCGAAGCUGCGGCAAUGUCUUUUAGACAUUGGGUAGGGGAGCGUUCUGUAAGCCGUUGAAGGUGAAUCGUAAGGUUUGCUGGAGGUAUCAGAAGUGCGAAUGCUGACAUGAGUAACGACAAAGGGGGUGAAAAACCUCCUCGCCGGAAGACCAAGGGUUCCUGUCCAACGUUAAUCGGGGCAGGGUGAGUCGACCCCUAAGGUGAGGCCGAAAGGCGUAAUCGAUGGGAAACGGGUUAAUAUUCCCGUACUUCUGACUAUUGCGAUGGGGGGACGGAGAAGGCUAGGUGGGCCAGGCGACGGUUGUCCUGGUUCAAGUGCGUAGGCUUGAGAGUUAGGUAAAUCCGGCUCUCUUUAAGGCUGAGACACGACGUCGAGCUGCUACGGCAGUGAAGUCAUUGAUGCCAUGCUUCCAGGAAAAGCCUCUAAGCUUCAGAUAGUCAGGAAUCGUACCCCAAACCGACACAGGUGGUCGGGUAGAGAAUACCAAGGCGCUUGAGAGAACUCGGGUGAAGGAACUAGGCAAAAUGGUACCGUAACUUCGGGAGAAGGUACGCUCUUGAUGGUGAAGUCCCUCGCGGAUGGAGCUGACGAGAGUCGCAGAUACCAGGUGGCUGCAACUGUUUAUUAAAAACACAGCACUGUGCAAAAUCGCAAGAUGACGUAUACGGUGUGACGCCUGCCCGGUGCCGGAAGGUUAAUUGAUGGGGUUAGCGCAAGCGAAGCUCUUGAUCGAAGCCCCGGUCAACGGCGGCCGUAACUAUAACGGUCCUAAGGUAGCGAAAUUCCUUGUCGGGUAAGUUCCGACCUGCACGAAUGGCGUAAUGAUGGCCACGCUGUCUCCACCCGAGACUCAGUGAAAUUGAAAUCGCUGUGAAGAUGCAGUGUACCCGCGGCUAGACGGAAAGACCCGUGAACCUUUACUACAGCUUGGCACUGAACAUUGAACCUACAUGUGUAGGAUAGGUGGGAGGCUAUGAAGACGUGACGCCAGUUGCGUUGGAGCCGUCCUUGAAAUACCACCCUUGUAUGUUUGAUGUUCUAACUUAGCCCCAUUAUCUGGGGUGAGGACAGUGCCUGGUGGGUAGUUUGACUGGGGCGGUCUCCUCCCAAAGAGUAACGGAGGAGCACGAAGGUGGGCUAAUCACGGUUGGACAUCGUGAGGUUAGUGCAAUGGCAUAAGCCCGCUUAACUGCGAGAAUGACGGUUCGAGCAGGUGCGAAAGCAGGUCAUAGUGAUCCGGUGGUUCUGUAUGGAAGGGCCAUCGCUCAACGGAUAAAAGGUACUCCGGGGAUAACAGGCUGAUACCGCCCAAGAGUUCAUAUCGACGGCGGUGUUUGGCACCUCGAUGUCGGCUCAUCACAUCCUGGGGCUGAAGUCGGUCCCAAGGGUAUGGCUGUUCGCCAUUUAAAGUGGUACGCGAGCUGGGUUUAGAACGUCGUGAGACAGUUCGGUCCCUAUCUGCCGUGGGCGUUGGAAGAUUGAAGGGGGCUGCUCCUAGUACGAGAGGACCGGAGUGGACGAACCUCUGGUGUUCGGGUUGUGUCGCCAGACGCAUUGCCCGGUAGCUAAGUUCGGAAUUGAUAAGCGCUGAAAGCAUCUAAGCGCGAAGCGAGCCCUGAGAUGAGUCUUCCCUGACGGUUUAACCGUCCUAAAGGGUUGUUCGAGACUAGAACGUUGAUAGGCAGGGUGUGUAAGCGUUGUGAGGCGUUGAGCUAACCUGUACUAAUUGCCCGUGAGGCUUAACCAUACAACACCCAAGGGGUUUUGUA